UAUUUGAAAUACUUUGUGAGGGGACAAUUUUCACUGACAAUAAUGUUCCUUCAUGUUAAUCAUCAAAUAUAUCAAUUAUCUAAUAUAUCUGCUCAAGGAAGCUCAGCAUGAAUAAUAAGUUGUUUUUGGUGUCUUUCAUUAACAGGUAAGGCUGUCGUUGUAGGCUCAGGAGGUGUUGUGACUGUGGCCUUGACUCCUGCUCUUCUAGCCUCCAUAGGUUUCACCUCAGGUGGAAUACUAGCAGGCUCCAUUGCUGCCAAAAUUAUGUCAUUUCUUGCAAUUGCUAAUGGAGGAGGAAUUGCAGCAGGAAGUCUGUUUGCAUUCUUGCAGUCAUUUGCUGCAGCUGGUAUGUCUGCGGGGGUCACUGGAGCUGUGGUCACUGUUGGAGGAACAAUGGGAUGGCUGCUGUCAUCCAUUUGUGACCAAAAUGAAACCCACUAAAGAUUUACAGAACUGUAACUACAGAUAUGAUAAGAUUUACUUUAUCACUGCACUGUGAUAAAUCUGAUAACCUUAAUAAAAUUUUGUUUUCAUGUGUAUGCCACAUCCUCAAUUUAAACCAUCAGUCAAGAAGCGAGAAUAAUAUUGUUAUAAGGACAUGAAUAGUUUACUAAUGGUUUACACAGGACCCGUUUCAAUCUUG